rnacentral:rRNA from 1 species
AAGUAUAUGCAUAUUUUAUAUGUAGAAACUGCGAACGGCUCAUUAAAACAGUUAUAAUCUACUUGACAUUUUCUAUAUAAGGAUAACUACGGAAAAGCUGUAGCUAAUACUUGCUUUAACACUCUUGAUUUAUUUCUUGAGUGUGUACUUGUUAAGCCUUAUAAGAAAAGAGUUAUUAACUUAAGGAAUUAUAACAAAGAAGUAACACGUAAAUGGAUUUUCCAUUUUUUAGUGUGUAUCAAUCGAGUUUCUGACCUAUCAGCUUUUGAUGUUAGGGUAUUGGCCUAACAUGGCUAUGACGGGUAACGGGGAAUUAGAGUUCGAUUCCGGAGAGGGAGCCUGAGAAAUAGCUACCACAUCUAAGGAAGGCAGCAGGCGCGUAAAUUACCCAAUUCUAAAGAAGAGAGGUAGUGACAAGAAAUAACAAUACAAGGCCAAUCUGGCUUUGUAAUUGGAAUGAUGGGAAUUUAAAACCUUCCCAAAACUCAAUUGGAGGGCAAGUCUGGUGCCAGCAGCCGCGGUAAUUCCAGCUCCAAUAGCGUAUAUUAAAAUUGUUGCAGUUAAAACGCUCGUAGUUGAAUUUCAAAGAAUCGAUAUUUUAAGUAACGCUUUGUAGAUUAAUCCACAUAACUGAUACUACGUAUCGACUUUGUGCGCAUUUUUCUACUUAUGUGUUCUUUUAAUUAAAAUGAUUCUUUUUAAGAUCUUUCUUUUUUGCUUCGGCAUUUUAGGAGAUCUUGUUACUUUGAGUAAAUUAGAGUGUUCAAAGCAAACAGAUUAUAGCAUCUUUAUGCGUUUGAAUACUACAGCAUGGAAUAACAAAAUUGAACAAGUCAGAAUUUUGUUCUUUUUCUUAUUUUGGCUUAGUUACGAUUAAUAGGAGUAGCUUGGGGGCAUUUGUAUUCAGAUGUCAGAGGUGAAAUUCUUAGAUUUUCUGGAGACAAACAACUGCGAAAGCAUUUGCCUAAAAUACUUCCAUUAAUCAAGAACGAAAGUUAAGGGAGUGAAGACGAUCAGAUACCGUCGUAAUCUUAACCAUAAACUAUGCCGACUAGGCUUUGGAUGAAAGAUUUUAAAAUAAGAGUUUUUUCUCUGAGGAGUUAAAACUCUUAGAUUGCUUCCUUCAGUGCCUUAUGAGAAAUCAAAGUCUUUGGGUUCUGGGGCGAGUAUUCGCGCAAGCGAGAAAGUUAAAAGAAUUGACGGAAGGGCACCACCAGGCGUGGAGCUUGCGGCUUAAUUUGACUCAACACGGGAAAACUCACUAGUUUAAGACAAGAGUAGGAUUGACAGAUUAAUAGCUCUUUCUUGAUUUCUUGGAUGGUGAUGCAUGGCCGUUUUUAGUUCGUGAAUAUGAUUUGUCUGGUUAAUUCCGAUAACGAACGAGAUCUUAACCUGCUAAUUAGCGGCAAAUACGAUAUAUUCUUAUGUGGAAUUGAAUAUAGUUGAUUUGCUUAUUUUGAAGAAAAUAUUGGGAUACGUAAAUGUAUCCCUUUCCCUUUUCUACUUAAUUUGCUUAUCAUACUAUUUCUUUUAUGCGUAAGAAUGUAUUUGCUUGAUUGUAAAGCUUCUUAGAGGAACGAUGUGUGUCUAACACAAG